rnacentral:tRNA from 1 species
GGCUGGGGAUACAGCUCAGUUGGUAGAGUGUUUGUCUUGCAUGCACAAGGCCCUGGGUUCAAUCCCCAGCCCGCCCC